AUUCUAAAAUUGUUGGCAUUGGUUGCCAAUUCCAUUUCAAAACUUAGGGUUUGUUAUUUAAAAUUUUCAAAUUUUAAGUACUUGGUUUACUGUUUCGUUGGUCAAUUGUACAGUAAGAAUUUGACAAUAUUGUCUUCAUGAUAGUUGUUCCUUUAUGUUUCUUCUUUAAUUCCCUUUUUGAAUCACUCCAUUUGAAGUUUUGUAG
rnacentral:misc_RNA from 1 species